rnacentral:rRNA from 1 species
AAAUUGAAGAGUUUGAUCAUGGCUCAGAUUGAACGCUGGCGGCAGGCCUAACACAUGCAAGUCGAACGGUAACAGGAAGAAGCUUGCUUCUUUGCUGGCGAGUGGCGGACGGGUGAGUAAUGUCUGGGAAACUGCCUGAUGGAGGGGGAUAACUACUGGAAACGGUAGCUAAUACCGCAUAACGUCGCAAGACCAAAGAGGGGGACCUUCGGGCCUCUUGCCAUCGGAUGUGCCCAGAUGGGAUUAGCUUGUUGGUGGGGUAACGGCUCACC